rnacentral:misc_RNA from 1 species
GAUGAAGAACGUAGCGAAAUGCGAUACGUAAUGUGAAUUGCAGAAUUCAGUGAAUCAUCGAGUCUUUGAACGCACAUUGCGCCCCCCGGCAUUCCGGGGAGCAUGCCUGUUCGAGCGUCUCUUGGAAUACCCCUCACGCCGGCGGAGGCGUGGUCAUGGCGGCGGUGGCGUGCCCCGAGAGGGAGGCCACCGCGCUGGAAUCCAUGGGCGGACGCCUGCCGCGUGGCCGAGCGUGAUAAGACGCACUGGCGCUCGCGCGCGGCGAGGCUGCCGGCCCUGGCCCGCUCGUCGGGCGGGGACAGCAACACUUGGGAACUCCUCGAAUCAGGUAGGGAUACCCGCUGAACUUAAGCAUAUCAAUAAGCGGAGGA